CUAUCCAAUUAUCUAGUACUGGUAGGCAGCAUUUUUCUGUCUCACAAAGCCCUCAUAUCUAGUUUUCCGCUGGCUGAGAAUGAUUAACAGUGCGCCAAUGAGUUCCCACCUGCCCCUGAGUCACAACAUUCGGAGCUUUAAACUGCAGACGCGACCAUACAGCUGCAACAAAGAGAGAAACUCGAGCAGAGGAUCUGACAUCUUUAUUUGUUUGGCUGUCCGGUCACCACCAUCUUGUGAGGAGAAAGUCUGUACAAGUCGAUUACCGAACUCUUCUCCCUUUGCAUCCAUUGACUGCAGCUUGUGCCGCAUUCGGUUGGCAGUCGCAAAACAAAAUUAUGGUAAAGUCUGUGGCUGCCAUUGAAAUUUCAUCAUCAAUGAAAUGUGUCUCUCAGUGUGAAAGAACUGAAUUUGCUUGAGGCCAUUUUUCACAAUAAGUUUGUCUAGCGGAGCCUGCUUUGUAUAAUUAUGUGAUUAGGAAAUCUAUCUUGUUCAGACAGUGCUUGACUGAAUUUCACAAGAACUGUUAUGAAUUACUAAUUGUUUUUUUUUUCAUCUGGUUCAAAAAGAGUUCUACAGACCUUUUGAAAUAAAAAACUAGAAUGUUACAGAAUGAAAAUUAUGACCGCAAGUUUCUUAAAAACCACUUGUCACUUCUGAAUGACCCUGUGCCUGUUUCUGCUCUUUUCACUGAAGCCAGCAUUACGCAGCAAACAUUUUAAACCCUGAACAAAUUUCCGAGCACGAGAUGUUGGCCUUGUCAGAGGAGCCUACACCAAAGCUCCCGAACAUUGUGUCCCUUUCCAGCUCAUCCCCUCCCAUCACGGGCCACUGACUGGCUGAGAUAUAUCUCCUCUGUCAGCGUAAAGUCUACAUGUCAUGCCAUUCUCCUUGCCUGUCUUUGGGAGGAUGGCCCGUUCCUUCUACGGGAGUCUGUGACCGAGCUCUGCCCUGGACCCAGGCUGUGCAUGUUUACACGAAUUGGUGGCGCUGACACCAUUGUGAGGGCAAUUUGCUUCCGGGCAGAAUCUCAUUUG